UACAUGGGGUGCAAACGUUGCUCGGAAUCAUUGGGCGUAAAGCGCACGUAGGCGGUUCGUUAUGUCGGAUGUGAAAGCCCUCGGCUUAACCGGGGAAGUGCAUCCGAAACUGGCGAGCUUGAGUACUAAAGAGGGUCGCGGAAUUCCCGGUGUAGAGGUGAAAUUCGUAGAUAUUCGGAGGAACACCAGUGGCGAAGGCGGCUCACUGGCUCGGUACUGACGCUGAGGUGCGAAAGCGUGGGGAGCAAACAGG
rnacentral:rRNA from 1 species